CAAGACGGCGGCUUCUUCCUCGAGACGCUUCCUCGUGCUCGCACCCAAGGCCCGCGGCGGCGGCGGGCAGCGUCGCACGCAGCGCUGGUCCGUGAAGACUCGGCUCCUGUAGGGCGGCGGAAGUCGCUGGGGCGCCGGAACUGGGUGUGUGGGAAGGCAGGACGCUGGUCCAAAGGUCAGUGCCCAGGACCAAGUGGCGGCGAGCAGGCGUUGGUAGUUGGGUUCUCGACUGGGGCUGUGGGGAAGGCCUGAAAUUUUUAACAAUUAGAAACUUCUCUAGCCUUAAGAACUGAGAUAUGGAGGACGAAGAAAACAUUGAGGAUGAACUGUUUUUUGUGGACUCACAACUCCAGGACAUUCAAGGACAAAUUAAAACAUUACUUGAUCGCCAAGAGGAGUUGUAUGAGUGACAGUCACAGUUAAAGGCUUUGCUGGAAGUAUCUAAGAAAUCCAGAAACAAAUCAAAUUAUGAAUCUUCAGUUACUCUGGAAGAUUGGUCUGGGAGCUUCCCAUGGGAUUCUCAGGCUGAUGAUACCAGAUUCAAUAUAUUUGGCAUCACCUCCUACCGAUCAAAUCAACGAGAAAUAAUUAACGCAGUCAUGAGUCAAAAGGAUGUUCUGGUCAUAAUGGCUGCUGGUGGAGGGAAGAGCCUGUGUUACCAACUCCCAGCUGUAUUUCAUAAUGGAAUUGCAUUGGUUGUCAGCCCAAUACUUUCUCUUAUCCAGGACCAGGUCAUGGGACUGGCAGAUUUAGGUAUAGCAGCUUACAUGCUGACUUCAACUACCAACAAGGAAGUUGAGAAGUUCAUCUAUAGGGCACUUGAUAAAGGUGAAGGAGAAUUGAAGAUAUUAUAUGUGACACCAGAAAAGAUAUCGAAAAGUAAAAGGUUCAUGCCUAAGCUUGAGAAAUGCCAUCUUGCUGGACGUCUUUCUCUCGUUGCAGUAGAUGUGAGUGAUGAUAAUACUUGUUUCUAUUUGUGCCUAAUCCCCAAAAUUGUUACAGUACACUAAUAUCGUUUCUCUCAAUAAAUGCUCUUUCUGUUGUUCUUAUGCAAGUUAUAAAUUCCUUUGUGUCAUUGAUCUAUGCAAGUUUGAGUAUUCUCUGCUGGAAAUUAAAUUAAAUUAUAUCUUAAGUUUUGCUUCAUGACAAAGUACCUUCGUGCUAUUUGUUGGAUUAUGUGCUUUUAGUUGCUUACUCUUGGUAUCUCUAAGAAUUACCAGUCAGAAUCUGAAUAUGUCAAUAAUCAUAGGAAGUUACAAGACAACCUUUUUUUCCCCCCAUAAACGUUGAUUUAAGAAACCUCAUCAGGAAAAAUAUAUCUUCUUUGCCCUAUAUUGUUUUGCAGCUUCAUGGAAAUGGAUCCAUUAAAGUCCUCAGUUCUAUUACCACUCAAAAUCAUGAAAGAAUUGCCUGUCCAACUAGAUUCCUAAGAGCAGCUCAUGAGACAACUGAAAUUCAAGGGGAGUAAUAAACACGCCAAAAUGGAGUAGAACUCCAGAAAGGAUGAAAAAUCCUAGAAGUACACAUUUUUAUUUGUUAUAUGAGCAAGAUAAUGGAAUAAAACACUUAUAUGGUAAACAAUCAAAUGUGGGUACAGGGUAAACAAUCAAAGAAAUUUCCAUUCCUUCAACAGGAUAGGAAACGAUUAUAUAUGUGUGCUUCGUGAUUAUGUGAA